rnacentral:rRNA from 1 species
GCCUUCAUGAAGCUGGAAUUGCUAGUAAUGGCAGGUCAGCAUACUGCCGUGAAUACGUUCCCGGGCCUUGUACACACCGCCCGUCACACCAUGGGAGUCGGUAACACCCGAAGCCUGUAGUCUAACCGCAAGGAGGACGCAGUCGAAGGUGGGAUUGAUGACUGGGGUGAAGUCGUAACAAGGUAUC